rnacentral:tmRNA from 1 species
UUAUAUUUUGGUGGGGGCGAAAUAGGAUCGACAAGAGUGUAAAGAUUGCUCUUUUACUCGGCAUAGUACCACCGUUAUCGGACUAAAUCAGUAGUUGCAAAUGACAACUAUGCGGAAGCACGUCUCGCUGCUUAGUGCAGUGCGAAUGUUUCAAAUUAAGCCUUAGACCGUCGCAGGUUUAAGCGGGGUUCGGAGGCACCCG